CCGUCAAUCUCUCCGUCCCCCUGAAUAGCCGACCCAAGAUAUCUGAAGAUACCGUGUCACGGUAAAGAGAGCUGAUACAAAAGAGUUAUUGAGCUGCGGUAAAACUACAGCAUCAUAGUAGAUGCUUCAGAAUUCCAAAAAUCAGCAAGGGUUAAUUGGCAUUUGACAGUGAUUUAUAUCUUGGGUAGAAAUGACAAUCUAUUUCGCAACAUAGUACGUGAUUUGCAAAGGGAAUACACUGUGCAAAACUUAGUGGAGAGGACUCAUCUUCAUUGGAUGAUUUCUUAAGCAUUGCGGUAAGUCUAAACAUUUUUUUUAAUAAGAAGAUGUAUGCCUAAACCUUAUUCGAUCUAUUGAGUUUUUGGGUGAAAUUAUUGUGAUUAGAGCUAAUGAAUUGAGAAUUUCAAGCAUGUAUAUGCUUGAGGAAACCUAUGUGUAAAUAACAGUAGAAAUUUGUGGCUUGAUUUUAUUGAACUGCAGAGGUUAUAGGAAAUUUGUCAUUCCUAUGGCUUGAUUAGUGAAUGCGAUGAAUACCUACUAUGGGUAAUUCAUACCCAAAUUAUUAUUAUUAUGAUUUUUAAUCAAACAACUUAUGACUUCUUCCUGCCCUGGUAUCUAUCAGUGUUAUGUAACAGUUUAAUGUUUCAUCUGUAGAAAAGGACCCAGCAAAAAGAUUACACGGGCAUUGAAUCCCUCGGCUUACUACGAACACACAAAUUCCCUCAACAAAGGUUUGUCGAUACCAGCUAAAGUUCCCCCGCAAAUAAAAAGCUUCAGCGAGAGACAAAAUACUCAGUGAUACACCAGCACUUUCAGCCUAAAAAACAACCACCACCAUUUCACUCACCACUCUCUUCCUAAAUCUAUAUCUAUAUAAAAGGCCAUCAACAUUAAGAAGGUUACCAACUCUUGAGGUAGAGUUGCUACCGAUCACAUAGCAUAAGCUAAUUGCAUAAUUAUUUUGAAACUUGACAGUGAAUAUAAGUAAUGACCAAAUAAUAAACAACAUUAUCAUUACUUAGAUGUUGAUUCAUAAAAUUCAACAAAGAAACAACCCAAUUAAAAGAGUCACACAUUUUAGCAUUUGAACUAGGGGAAUAACACCCUUUCCAAAUUAAAAUAAAUUACCUAAAAAUUCAAGACACACAACAGCAAACUUGAAAUAGAAACUCAAACAAAAAAGAUUAACAACAGAAAUAAUAAAAGGGUAUUAAGAAAGAAUAUAAAAAAUCAAAAGCCAAAUUCUUGAGGAAAAAAACUAACUUUUGAGAGUAUAGUAAGGAGAAGUACAGAACAAGAACAAAAAGAAAACUCCACCAAAGAUUCAGUGAAUUAUGAGCAAAUGAUGAAAAUGUAGUUGGGGAAAGCUCAAAAAAGAGAGGCUUUUACACUGAAUUCAGCAACAGCUAAGAGAAGUAAGGACAUGAAAAUGAAGUUUACAUGCAAGUAAACAGUGCUUAAGGAACCAAUUAACGUGAGAUUAUGCUAAUCAAGAAAGAGAAAAAGACAUUACCUUUUGCAAUUGCUGGAAAAAGAAAGAACAAAAAGCUAAGCUUGGAAAGUUACAGAGAUUUUGGG
rnacentral:lncRNA from 1 species